GGAGGGGUGCAAGCGUUGUUCGGAAUUAUUGGGCGUAAAGAGCGUGUAGGGCGGUUCGGUAAGUCAGAUGUGAAAGCCCUGGGCUCAACCCAGGAAGUGCAUUUGAAACUACCAGACUUGAGUACGGGAGAGGAGGGGGGAAUUCCCGGUGUAGAGGUGAAAUUCGUAGAUAUCGGGAGGAAUACCAGUGGCGAAGGCGCCCCUCUGGACCGAUACUGACGCUGAGACGCGAAAGCGUGGGGAGCAAACAGGAUUAGAUACCCUGGUAGUCCACGCCGUAAACGAUGAGCACUAGGUGUAGCGGGUAUUGACCCCUGCUGUGCCGUAGCUAACGCAUUAAGUGCUCCGCCUGGGGACUACGGUCGCAAAGACUA
rnacentral:rRNA from 1 species